rnacentral:rRNA from 1 species
CUCGUGGCUGGGUGGGGCAUGGCCGUCUUGGAGAAUUAUCAGAGGACGAAGCCCAAGCCGCUGUCAGAGAGGAGCAGGUUCGGCUUGAGAUUGGGCCGCGUCUCCCUCUCCUUCCCGCCUUCGUGUUGCGCCUCCUCACCCUCCGGCGUCGCAACGAACUUGGGUGUUCGUCUCUGGUGGUAGGGCCGAAGUGGCAGGUGCGUACGACAGGGUUGGGGAUUAGGUUGGACCGCACUUGUAGUAACCCGUCGGCAUCGACGGCGCCAUGGGUAGGGUGGGGAGCAAGGAGAUGGAUUUGGGAAUCGUGGUGGCUCAAAGAUCGAUUGGGAACAAUCAGGGAGAGAGGGAGAACCGACGAUAGCGGGGACGACAUAGGAGUUUGAUCGGAGGGAGGGUGCAGGGUUGGUCGCAGGAAAGAGGGAGAGAUGAGGAGAUGGGAGAUGAGACUGGCAGGUCGUGGGAGAAGUGGAGGUCGUCAGAGUUUUUCUU